CGAACCCUUCGGGGUUAGUGGCGCACGGGUGCGUAACGCGUGGGAACCUGCCUUUAGGUUCGGAAUAACUCAGAGAAAUUUGAGCUAAUACCGGAUAAUGUCUUCGGACCAAAGAUUUAUCGCCUUUAGAUGGGCCCGCGUUAGAUUAGAUAGUUGGUGGGGUAAUGGCCUACCAAGUCGACGAUCUAUAGCUGGUCUGAGAGGAUGAUCAGCCACACUGGGACUGAGACACGGCCCAGACUCC
rnacentral:rRNA from 1 species